GUGCUCAGUUUAUCAAUACAUAUACUAGAACUGGAACAAUAUAGAUAUUAGCAUGUCCCUGCAUAAAGAUGACAUGCAAAUUCAUGGAACAGUCCAUUGUUUU
rfam:Canis lupus familiaris chromosome 23, whole genome shotgun sequence.